rnacentral:rRNA from 1 species
UACGGAGGGUGCAAGCGUUAUCCGGAUUCACUGGGUUUAAAGGGUGCGUAGGUGGGCAGGUAAGUCAGUGGUGAAAUCUCCGGGCUUAACCCGGAAACUGCCAUUGAUACUAUCUGUCUUGAAUGUUGUGGAGGUGAGCGGAAUAUGUCAUGUAGCGGUGAAAUGCUUAGAUAUGACAUAGAACACCAAUUGCGAAGGCAGCUCGCUACACAAUUAUUGACUCUGAGGCACGAAAGCGUGGGGAUCAAACAGG